GGGGGGUCGGGGCUGUGGGGCAGCCCUAUAAAGGGGUUGGGGGCUGUGGGGUCUGUGGGGCCGCCCUAUAGGGGGGUCGGGGGUUGGGGGUCAGGGCUGUGGGGCGGUCCUAUAAAGGGGUCGGGGGCUUUGGGGUCCGUGGGGCCGCCCUAUAUGGGGGUGUGGGCUGUGGGAUCUGUGGGGCCGCCCCACUGACCCCAUAUGUGGUGCAGAUGAAGAAGCUGUAUGGGAACGUGGAGGGCUACGAGGGAGUGGAGAUCCUUUCCUUGAGAGAGGGCAGCGUCGUGGUGACGUACGAUGUGCUCCUUCGGGUCGCGGCGGGGACUGACGCCCCCACCGUCGUGGAGGACCUCGUGGAGGACCUCCUGGCGGCCACCGUCGCCAAUUGCAGCCAAUGCAGCGCGGUCACGUGUGAGUGGGGGGUCACGUGAGUGGGGGGCGGAAGUCACGUGCCAGCGGGGGUGGUCGCGUGAAGGGGCGGAAGUCACGUGAGGGGUCACGUGAGGGGGCGCAGCCAUAGAGGGUCCCCAUUGGGGUCCUAUAAACGCUUAUGGGGUUGUGCGGUUCCUAUAUGGGAUUUGGGGUUGUGGGACCCCCAUAAGGCCCCCAUUGGGGUCCCCCAUCAGUUAUGGGGCUUGGGGGAUCCUAUAUGGGGUGGAGGACCCCCAUAAGGUCCCCACUGAGGUCCUAUAAACGCUUAUGGGGUUGGGGGGUUCCUAUAUGGGAUUUGGGGUUGUGGGACCCCCAUAAGGUCCCCACUGGGGCCCUAUAAACGCUUUUGGGGUUUGGGGGAUCCUAUGUGGGGUUUGGGGUCCCACAUCCCCCACUACUGCUCCAUAUCCCUCAUUAUGGCCCCAUAACCCCCUAUAAUGACCCCACAACCCCCUAUAAUGGCCCUAUAUCCCCCAUUGCCACCCCAUAAUCCUCUAUAACGGCCCCAUAAUCCUCUAUAACGACCCCAUAUCCCCUAUAACGGCCCCAUAAUCUCCUAUAGUGACCCCAUAUCCCCUAUAACGGCCCCAUAUCCCCUAUAGUGACCCCAUAUCCCCUAUAACGGCCCUAUAGGUGACAUAUGUUUCAACACGUCCCACACCUCUGUAACCAACUACACCGUUCAGCCCCUGGAUGCAGCGCUCUGCCAGCCGCUGAUCCCGCCGUCGCUCAUUGGCUACUACAGCGCAAUCCCCGCCCCUUCCGGCGCGCUGUGCGUCAGCCGCUGCCACCCGCUGUCCGACCGGCCGUUCCCGUGCGUGCACGGAGCAUGCGCAGUGAGCGGCGAUGGACCGCGCUGCCAGUGAGGCCUUAAAGGGGCAGCGGCCCGAAAUUCGGGCUCUAUGGGGGCUCUAUGGGG
ensembl:lncRNA